UUCUGGUGCUUUGACGGUGGGGCCACACCUCUUCCCAUUCCGAACAGAGAAGUUAAGCCCACUAGUGGCGAUGAUAGUUUUUAAAGCAAAAGUAGCUAGGCGCCAGAAC
rfam:Candidatus Nomurabacteria bacterium RIFOXYA1_FTLL_35_17 rifoxya1_full_scaffold_2201, whole genome shotgun sequence.